rnacentral:rRNA from 1 species
GAAGACGGCCAUAGUAACUGGGUAAUACCUGUUCCCAUUCCGAACACAGAAGUCAAGCUGGUUACGUCGUGAGCGUUAGUCUCCCACAAGAGGCGAAAUUCCGAUGCUGUCUUCU